GACGAACUGUCCUAACGUUGUUCGGAAUCACUGGGCUUAAAGGGUGCGUAGGCGGGCAGGUAAGUCAGAGGUGAAAUCUCCGGGCUUAACCCGGAAACUGCCUUUGAUACUAUCUGUCUUGAAUAUGGUGGAGGUAAGCGGAAUAUGUCAUGUAGCGGUGAAAUGCUUAGAGAUGACAUAGAACACCCAUUGCGAAGGCAGCUUACUACGCCUAUAUUGACGCUGAGGCACGAAAGCGUGGGGAUCAAACAGG
rnacentral:rRNA from 1 species